UCGAGAAUUUUUCACAAUGGGCGCAAGCCUGAUGGAGCGACGCCGCGUGGGGGAUGAAGGGUUUCGAUCCGUAAACCCCUGUCAUUUGCGAACAAACCUUGUUUGCUAACACCAGACAAGCUGAUUGUAGCGGAAGAGGAAGGGACGGCUAACUCUGUG
rnacentral:rRNA from 1 species